CCGGAAUUAAAUUAUUUACCGAACCGCAGUUGGUUCGAUAGUAGAAGGUGUUUUGCUAUCACUUAUAGAUGGACCCGCGCCGUAUUAGCUAGUUGGUAAGGUAACGGCUUACCAAGGCGACGAUACGUAGCCGACCUGAGAGGGUGAUCGGCCACACUGGAACUGAGACACGGUCCAGACUCCUACGGGAGGCAGCAGGA
rnacentral:rRNA from 1 species